UGACAGUUCAUUACAAUAACGUAGGCGAUCUUAAAAUUGACCGAUCAGUGGUUAUCAUGCAGCAAGAGGAUUGUGAGAUUAAUUGAAUUACAAUGACGUACCCGAUGAAAAUCGAAACCCCUGAAUUCGACGACGGCUGCUGAAUUAGAUGUUGUUCAGAUGAAUCCGUUGACUAAUCUGCUGUUAAGCGAUCUUCUUUCCCCAACUGUGACCUAGAU
rnacentral:lncRNA from 1 species